CACAGGGAGAAGAAGAGACAGAGGAUGGGGGGGGGGAGCAGGAGACAGUCCUGGGCUGGAGAACAAGGAGGAUCAGCACACUUAGGGGACAAGGGGACAGGUGUGGGGCCCGGGACAAGAGGAACUGAGGCAGCGGUAGGACAUCCGCAUGGAGACACUGUGACAAAGGGCUUGGGGUCAGGAGAGCUCCGGUAUGGAGACCAGGUCAGAGCUCGUUCUGUCCUCCUGCAUGUUAACUUGUCUCCAUGAAUCUAUGUUCACAGGGGCUGACAGGUGGUCCAACCUGGCCCCUGUCUUCCAAGGGUUGCAUUCUAGUGUGGAAGAGCCGAGUCCUUGGCUCAGAUCUGAGUGUGUAUGAAACAUGGUAGAGCCAGGGGUAGUGGUCCCUGCCUGUGAUUCUUGUACUGAGGCAGAAAGAUGGCAAGUUUGAGCCCGGCCUGGACAACGUAGGGAGAAUCUUUCUCAAAAUUUAAAAAUCAAAUAUAAAGGCUGCAGAUGUAUGUACCUCAGUGGGAAGGCCUAGGGUUCAGUCCCCAGGGUCACAAAAGAUGAAAGAGUAAAGAUAGGAUGGAGCGAAGGCAGGAAUGGAUGAUGAACUCCCAAGGCAGGCAGAGAAGGCUUCCUGGAGGAGGCAGCUCCAGGUGGUUUGGUGGAGAAGGAGGGAUGAGCAGAGCCCUGGGGUUUAUCUGUGGGUCUCUCCCUCCCCUGCGGCGUCCACAUGUACAUCCUCUCUUUCUCUUCCAGGCUCCUGUGAGCUCCGCCUGCCUUUCCUCCCACAGGAGGACUCAGUCCCAGGCACACACCCCAGUCCAGGGUGCUGUGCCAGGUGUGCUGGUGCUGUGGGCACUGUGGCAGCAACGGGGCGGCCAGACAGGCACAGAAGGCCUCAUGUCCAGGAACACUCCUGCCCUCAAGAGAACCAGUGCUGGGCCUGAAGGAAGAGGCCCCUAGGUCCCCUCUAAGGGUCCCUACCUCCUCAGAAAGCCCCAGCCUCUGCUUAACAAGACAUCUUGCUAAAUUGCUGAUUUACUGAGUUUGGGUUGGAACUUGGAAUCCUCUUGCCCCAGCCUCCAAGACUGCUGUGCUUGUCAGAAGCUGCUGAAGCUGCAAACUGAUCACAAGUGUGGCGGCAAGGCAAGCCCUGCCUGAUAACAAAGUUUCCAGAAGAAAUCCACGUAAACAAGCUGCUUCAGUCCACAGAACACCAAGCCCUGAGACAAUCCAAGCAAUGGGUUGCUAGGCAAAGGGGCUGUCACGUGACACUAACCUGCCAAAUGGGAAAUAAAUGGGCCACAGUGCUUGAGCUCUUUUCCUCCCAUCCAGAGAGGGCUCCACCUGAUCACA